UCGGGAAUUUUGGACAAUGGGGGCAACCCUGAUCCAGCAAUGCCGCGUGUGUGAAGAAGGCCUGCGGGUUGUAAAGCACUUUUGGCAGGGAUGAAAAGCACUGGAUUAAUAACCCAGUGUGUUGACCUAACCUGCAGAAGAAGCUCCGGCUAACUUCGUGCCAGCAGCCGCGGUAAUACGAAGGGAGCUAGCGUUGUUCGGAAUCACUGGGCGUAAAGCGCACGUAGGCGGAUAGUUAAGUCAGGGGUGAAAUCCUGGGGCUCAACCCCAGAACUGCCUUUGAUACUGGCUGUCUCGAGGUCGAGAGAGGUUGGUGGAAUUCCUAGUGUAGAGGUGAAAUUCGUAGAUAUUAGGAAGAACACCGGUGGCGAAGGCGGCUCACUGGCUCGAUACUGACACUGAGGUGCGAAAGCGUGGGGAGCAAACAGGAUUAGAUACCCCCGUAGUCCCUGAGCGGGCUGGCAAGGCGCAU
rnacentral:rRNA from 1 species